GACGAACGCUGGCGGCAUGCCUAACACAUGCAAGUCGAACGGUAAGGCUUCCUUCGGGAAGUACACGAGUGGCGAACGGGUGAGUAACACGUGGGUAACCUACCCUUGACUGGGGGACAAACGAGGGAAACUUCGGCUAAUACCGCAUAACGUGCAUUGCCUCAAGGUGGUGUACCAAAGCUCCGGCGGUUAAGGAUGGGCCCGCGGCAGAUCAGCUUGUUGGGGCGGUAACGGCUUACCAAGGCGAAGAUCUGUAGCUGGUCUGAGAGGACGAUCAGCCACACUGGGACUGAGACACGGUCCAGACUGCUACGGGAGGCAGCAGUGGGGAAUCUUGCGCAAUGGGCGAAAGCCGGACGCAGCAAUGCCGCGUGAGGGAAGACGGCCUUAGGGUUGUAAACCUCUUUCAGCAGGGACGAACACAGACGGUACCUGCAGAAGAAGCCCCGGCUAACUACGUGCCAGCCGCCGCCGUAA
rnacentral:rRNA from 1 species